rnacentral:rRNA from 1 species
UUAAUGUCCCGUAACGAGCGCAACCCUYGUCCUUAGUUACCAGCACGUUAUGGUGGGCACUCUAAGGAGACUGCCGGUGACAAACCGGAGGAAGGUGGGGAUGACGUCAAGUCAUCAUGGCCCUUACGSCCUGGGCUACACACGUGCUACAAUGGUCGGUACAAAGGAGUUGCCAAGCCGCGAGGUGGAGCUAAUCCCAUAAAACCGWUCGUAGUCCGGAUCGCU